GGAGGAAAGCAGGGGAUCGUAAGACCUUGCGUUAAUGGAGCGGCCGAUAUCUGAUUAGCUAGUUGGUGAGGUAAAGGCUCACCAAGGCGACGAUCAGUAGCUGGUUUGAGAGAACGACCAGCCACACUGGAACUGAGACACGGUCCAGACUCCUACGGGAGGCAGCAGUGGGGAAUUUUGGACAAUGGGGGCAACCCUGAUCCAGCCAUUCCGCGUGAGUGAAGAAGGCCUUCGGGUUGUAAAGCUCUUUCGCAAGGGAAGAAAACUUAUGAUCGAAUAAAUCAUGAGGUUGACGGUACCUUGAUAAGAAGCACCGGCUAACUACGUGCCAGCAGCCGCGGUAAUACGUAGGGUGCGAGCGUUAAUCGGAAUUACUGGGCGUAAAGCGUGCGCAGGCGGUUUUGUAAGUCGGAUGUGAAAUCCCCGGGCUCAACCUGGGAACUGCGUUUGAAACUACAAAGCUAG
rnacentral:rRNA from 1 species